CCCAAAACGUGGGGGAGCGGUGCAGAGUGCAAGUGCAGCGCGAGUAGAGGGAAAACAAAGAGGCUGCCUGAGGAACGGGCUGUGCAUGGGGUGCUUGGAAACGGGAAGGGGUAGAUUGGCUGCUCAGGUAUCGUGGUGCUCAGGCUGCUCUUUGAGACACCUGCAGCAAGGCUGUUUCUUCAGGGGAUGUUAAGUCUGAGUAGCAGCCCAAAGAGUUCUCAUGUCCAACUUGAGCUGGUUAUCUUCCUCUUAAAACUGGUUGGAGAGACCACUGUCAAGACAGGCCAUCCCUCUUAAGAACUGAGCAUGUGUUUUUUCUUGUAAGCUUAUUUUUACUUCAGGAGCAGUCCCCUGACAUCACAUCUGCGUUCCAAGUCUGCUUCCAAACAUCUGCAACACACAAUUCUAUUCUUCCAGAGCUUAUUCAGGUGCUGUACACUGUUUCGCAUAAGUGUUAUGUUUCUAAUAUUAAAAGCUUAAGAGACUUUCGAU
ensembl:lncRNA